rnacentral:rRNA from 1 species
UGGUGAUUCAUAGUAACCGAACGGAUCGCAGUUGGCUUCGGCCCGCGAUGGAUCUUUCAAGUUUCUGACCUAUCAGCUUUCGACGGUAGGGUAUUGGCCUACCGUGGCAGUGACGGGUAACGGGGAAUUAGGGUUCGAUUCCGGAGAGGGAGCCUGAGAAACGGCUACCACAUCUAAGGAAGGCAGCAGGCGCGCAAAUUACCCAAUGAAAACAGUUUCGAGGUAGUGACGAGAAAUAACAAUACAGGGCAUUUUAUGCUCUGUAAUUGGAAUGAUGGGAAUGUAAAACCCUUCCAGAGUAACAAUUGGAGGGCAAGUCUGGUGCCAGCAGCCGCGGUAAUUCCAGCUCCAAUAGUGUAUAUUAGAGUUGUUGCAGUUAAAAAGCUCGUAGUUGGAUUUCUGUCGUGGUCAUCCGGCUCCGCCCGUAUGGGUGUGCGCCUGGUUUGCCCUCGGCUUUCUUCCGGUAGCCUUCCGCGCUUCACUGCGUGUGUUGGUGUUCCGGAACUUUUACUUUGAGAAAAAUAGAGUGUUUCAAGCAGGCUUGUCGCCCUGAAUACUUCAGCAUGGAAUAAUAAGAUAGGACCUUGGUUCUAUUUUGUUGGUUUCUAGGACCAAGGUAAUGGUUAAUAGGGACAGUU